rnacentral:lncRNA from 1 species
GCCAGAAGUCCUCUGUGGGUGCAGGCUGCAGCUGCAGAGAGAGUUGAGGCUCUGGCUAAGAUGAAAGGACUUUGGGAGCGGCAUGGGGGGAUGCCAGAAAGUCUUUCCCUCUUCUCCUCUCCUCUGGGGUCUCCAUGGUGACCGGGCAGGGGUCCGAUAGAUAUUCUAGUUAUGCGACUUGGGCCAAUCCUAUAUCCACCUCCCACAGGGUUCUUGACUCCACAUGCAGAGCGGGCUGAAGCCACUCCUGCUAUCCAGGCAGCGCCUGUCCUAACAAGGAUUCAAUCAAUAUCUCUUGCACUUAUGCGAAGAUUUUCCUAAAAUACCCAAGACUUCCGGGGCAGCACUCCAGCGCUAACAUGAUUCCACAUGUGUUGUGAGUUAGCAGCCUGCUACUGUCUGUGUAAACGCAAGAGCUGGGUUUGGUUUGCCGUUCUGAAAUACACCGGUGAAAGUCAGCAGUCUCCUCCUCGAAAUCAGACGGAGGGCAAAAGGCAGAAGAAGAUCGCGAUAAGACCCAGGAGCCCAGGGACUGCAAAACGGACUAGCCCAUGCCAAGGAAGACGGGACCGAAGGCUGGAGCGAGCGCCUGCAGGCUGAUGGAGUGACUGACUGACAACUUACACUCAAGCAAGAAAUCAAAUAGAAAUGGAGCCAGGAAGUGCUCCACAGAGGACAUAACUGAGAGAUGCAAGCAAGAAUUAGCUCCCUCUCGGUGUGACAGAGUAAACACUAGAUCAGUGGUGAGCUGGGGGGCGGGGAGGGGCGACAAGGGGAUGGAGGAGACACAACACGUGAGACAUUGCCUACCUUCAUUACCAACUGUGCCUUUAAAGACACGGGAGGUUUUAAUGCGUGUAGCCAUGCUGAUCUUUGUACUUAUGAGUGGAAAACUUUUUUGUUUGCUUGCUUGCUUGUUUUAUUCUUCCGUGGGGAUCGUAGCCAGGGCUCUGUUCACGCCGACCACGUAGUCUACUACUGAGCUGCGUCUCAGUCUCCCCCUCCCGCGACCCCAUAGGAGUUUUUCCUGUAAGGAUCUUGAGUCCUGGCAUGACAUUAAAGAAAAGCAGUACAAUUGCGCAGAACCACU